UACGUAGGGGGCGAGCGUUGUCCGGAUUUAUUGGGCGUAAAGAGCUCGUAGGCGGUUUGGUAAGUCGGGUGUGAAAUCUCCACGCUCAACGUGGAGGGGCCACUCGAUACUGCCAUGACUCGAGUCCGGUAGAGGAGUGUGGAAUUCCCGGUGUAGCGGUGAAAUGCGCAGAUAUCGGGAGGAACACCCGUAGCGAAGGCGGCACUCUGGGCCGGAACUGACGCUGAGGCACGAAAGCGUGGGUAGCAAACAGG
rnacentral:rRNA from 1 species